AGAAACUUGGAUGGCUUCCCGGAUUUUCAACCUAUUUCCAGCUUGAACAUCGGCGUUUUCGAAGAAGUAUUAGUAGUUAUGGUAACGUGUACAUGGAAAUUCUGCUCGUUUAAAAGGCUAUUAUCAGAAACUUGGAUGGCUUCCCGGAUUUUCAACCCAUUUCCAGCUUGAACAUCGGCGUUUUCGAAGAAUUAUUAGUAGAUCGCACAAACAAGUUUGGCUCUUUUUCAAGGAAAUAGAUGGACAAACAGGAUUUCGGACAUCACCUGCAUCAUAAAAUUUAGUCCAUCGUCAUAGAAUAUGGUA